CCUGAGUGCACCCACCUGGUCACAGCUCCCUGGGGAAAGGAUGGCGUUUAUCCCUGCCCUGCCGCUUGCACAGGAAUGACUCUUUUUCACAACUCUGAAAAAAAACCGUUCUCUGUAUUCCUCAGGAGAGAAGAGGGCUUCUGCAAGCAGCGGAGCCAGGUCCAGGCAGGGAAUGCAGCAUGCUCACCCAGCAACAGGCUGUCUCCAUCUCCCACUGCUGUGUCUCGUCUAUGCCCAGGCAGUGCCUAGACCAUCCUGUUCAUUCGGGUCUGUCACUUGACACCUGCCUGCAUUUUUCCAAAUCCUCAGAACCAGCUGGCUUGGUUUGGCCAAGAAUCACCCAACUAAUGCCCAUUUUCUUGAGAGUUCUUGCAGGGAUGCAUGGCUUGGAAAUACCUCCUGAAACAAAGCCUCAGUGAAAAAUGAAUGUGUUUUUUAAAGGUCAGAACCAGAUUCUAUCAUCCCACACAUAUGUUUUCAAGGUGGGAGGUUGGUUUGAGGGGUACUAGUAGCUGUGUAAAACAUUCAGUGUUCAGCACUUUGAAGGAUAGACGCAGAAAAUGCAAGGGUGCUGCCCAUUGCAGCAAGUGGAGCUCAGUAGGCUUGGACACCAAAGGGGAGGUUGCCCUUCAUUUCAGUGCCUGAUGGGUCUCUGAAACUGAGGCUGACAUGUUAAGCUUGGUGAGAGCCAACCUGCAGGAGCAGAUAAAGGUCACCCUUCAUCUGAGGCAAUGCAGGAUAGGAAAUGCCAGUGCCAAGGACCCCCUCCUGCCUGCUUUUAUUUGGCAUCUCUUGUGCACAAAGGAUACCCAGGCUUCACAAAGCUACCCUGCUGCACAACACAGCCCCAUGACUGUGGACGUGCAGAGGGUAGCAAAACACCUCUUCCUCUGGAGUUGUGUCAUACAUAAAUCACAGUUACUGACGGUGCGAUGAGAGGGUCCCCGUGCAGCAGAGGGAGGACACUGCUGCAGGCACACGUACACCGCCCUGUUGGCGGAGCACACCCCACAGCCUUUCUGGGAGUACUUUUGCCCUGUGUCUUAGAAGCCAUUGCUGUGUGUUUGUGUCCGUGAGGUUGAGAAGCUGAGCUGAAAUUCAUCCUUCAGCAGAGGCCCAGCACGAGGCUUGCUCACCGCUCACAUCCACAGGCCUGCGUACCACUUGCAUCCCAUAGCGCUUAAGUGGAGCCUAAGUGGACCCUGGGCCUUGUGCUGGCGACCUGCCCAGUGGUGGAUUUCAGCUCCGAGCCCAGGCCUGCUGCUCUGAUUCAUGCACGUAAUCCCGCUGAGGUCAGCGGGUUCCAUCCUGCUCCCACCACGGCCCGCGGGACAGUUCACACGAGAGUGGCAGGGUCAGGCUCUGUGUUUGCAUGUGCCAUAGAAAAUGGAACAAUUAAGAUUAAACCAAUUAAAUUUUAACAGGUCUGGAAAGCGUUUUAUUACAUAAUAAACUGGAGGGAUUAGCC